AUACGGAGGAUGCGAGCGUUAUCCGGAUUUAUUGGGUUUAAAGGGUGCGUAGGCUGUGCGUUAAGUCAGGGGUGAAAUGCCGUCGCUCAACGACGGAGCUGCCCUUGAUACUGGCGUGCUGGAGUACGGAUGCCGUUGGAGGAAUGAGUGGUGUAGCGGUGAAAUGCUUAGAUAUCACUCAGAACACAGAUUGCGAAGGCAUCUGACGAAUCCGUCACUGACGCUGAGGCACGAAAGCGUGGGGAUAGAACAGGAUUAGAUACCCUGGUAUUCCACGCCGUAAACGAUGAUGACUAACCGUCGGCGAUAGACAGCCGGUGGCCAAGCGAAAGCGAUAAGUCAUCCACCUGGGGAGUACGUCGGCAACGAUGAAACUCAAAGGAAUUGACGGGG
rnacentral:rRNA from 1 species